CGGCGGGGAGAAAACCAGUAUGCGGACGAGUCUCAAAAAAAAAGUAAAACCGACACACUUGGGUUCACUUUAAUGUGCACGACAACGAGGUAGGUACCUAUGAUAUAUAGGUACCUCUCUACAGCGACGUCAUGCAGAUACCUACGCCGGUAAUAAUUGUAUUAAAUCGUUUAAGAUUUCUCAACAUCCUGGUACCUUUGUAUAUUUACAUUAUACAGAGUGGUUCGCUGUGCAGCUCAUCGCCCCAACUGAUAACUUUUUUCCCUAACUAAACCUCAAUCAUAUUAUAGGUAUACACAAUGUAUUUUUGAAAUACGAUUUUGAAAAACUAUUACUGUUUAAUAUGGAAACUAUAGAAUAUAGUCGCGAAUCAUGACUUUAUUAUUAUAAUUUAUAAUGUUUAUGUAAUACAUAUAAUAUUUUGUGUUGGCAUCUAAACUCGAAAUUUGUUUAUAAAUGUGUCAUAUUCUUGAAAACUACGAGAAGUCGAGAAAGUCAAUAAUUUAGAGCUAUGAACUAUUUUAUGUAGAUAUGUUAUACAUAAAUACAAUAAAAUACAUUUUACAAAUUAAUUUUAGAAGCUUUAAAGCUUGUGCAGGGGUCUACAUGUCGGUUGCAGAUAUGGGCAAGUAUCAACUGCACGAAGGACACUCUGUAUAAUAUUACGCAUCUACUACUCUUAGUUCUGGGUAAAUAUAUACCUAUUGUAUAAAUUGUAUUCAAUAUAUUAUGCGCGACCGCUAUUGAACGAAACAAUAUGACCUUUUUCCAAAUGGUUUUUUGGUGUUUGGCUGUUAUAUCGACCUGCAGAAUUGAUUUAUUUCAUCAAUGAUGGUCUCCGGCAUUUUUAUACG